AUUGAACGCUGGCGGCAUGCCUUACACAUGCAAGUCGAACGGUAACAGGUUAAGCUGUCGCGUGGCGAGGGGGUGAGUAAUGUAUCGGAACGUGAUACGUCGUAAGGGAUAAUUGCGCGGAAGAGCAGCUAGUACAGCAUACGACAAGAGCGUGAACGAGGUGGGUGGGAAGACAUCGCGCGAUUGGAGCGGCCGAUAUCGGAUUAGGUAGUUGGUGAGGUAAAGGCUCACCAAGCCGACGAUCCGUAGCUGGUCUGAGAGGAUGACCAGCCACACUGGGACUGAGACACGGUCCAGACUCCUACGGGAGGCAGCAGUGGGGAAUAUUGGACAAUGGGCGCAAGCCUGAUCCAGCCAUGCCGCGUGCGUGAAGAAGGCCUUCGGGUUGUAAAGCGCUUUUGUCAGGGAAGAAAAGGUUCUGGCUAAUACCUGGGAGUCAUGACGGUACCUGAAGAAUAAGCACCGGCUAACUACGUG
rnacentral:rRNA from 1 species